rnacentral:rRNA from 1 species
GCCUCCAUUCCGAACCCGGAAGCUAAGCCCUUCAGCGCCGAUGGUACUGCCCUGGAAACGGGGUGGGAGAGUAGGUCACCGCCGGAA